CGUGCAGGCGGCUCGUUAAGUCUGAUGUGAAAGCCCCGGGCUCAACCCGGGAAGUGCAUUGGAAACUGGCGAACUUGAGUAUGGGAGAGGGAAGUGGAAUUCCGAGUGUAGGGGUGAAAUCCGUAGAUAUUCGGAGGAACACCAGUGGCGAAGGCGGCUUCCUGGACCAAUACUGACGCUGAGACGCGAAAGCGUGGGGAGCAAACAG
rnacentral:rRNA from 1 species